UACGUAGGGGGCAAGCGUUGUCCGGAUUUAUUGGGCGUACAGCGCACGCAGGCGGUGCGGUAAGUUUCGCGUGACAGGUGGUGGCUUAACUGCCACAGGACUCGGAAAACCGCCGCACUUGAGGGCUUGAGAGGGACGCGGAAUUCCAGGUGGAGCGGUGAAAUGCGUAGAGAUCUGGAAGAACACCAAAGGCGAAGGCAGCGUCCUGGCAAGUCACUGACGCUCAGGUGCGAAAGCUAGGGGAGCGAACGGG
rnacentral:rRNA from 1 species